rnacentral:lncRNA from 1 species
AGUCGUAACCCUGAGCUCUGCUUUUACCCUAUGAGCCAAGCUUCCGACCUACUUAGGUAAUGAACAAGGCUGAUCUCUAUCACCGGGUGAGAGGUCCAAGUGGAGCCUGGUCUUACGGUUUGAGCGAGUUGGAUUUGUUCUAUGCAGAUGGCAUGUGGGCUUUCGGGCCUGUCCGUCAAUUGCUUUCGGGCGAUGGGCUAUUGCCGUGGGCCCAACCCUUAAUAGAGGUGGCGAAGUCCAGCGGCCGUCGGUUAUUGCCCCUUUACCUUCGAUUAUUGUCCCUUUACCUUCGCGUCAGUUAUUGUAUAACUGAUGAGGGGGUAAACUUCGAGAGUAAUUAAUGACCGCGCCGCUCCAAGACAAAAUUGUUCAGAGUGACAUUGCGUUUCAUUAUUGCCUCUUUGUCUCUCGAAGAAACUUGUUCUCGUCUGCUCUCUGUUUUCCUUCGACUUCUUCUGCCUCCUCGACCUUAUUGCUUUUCAGGUACGCUCUUUUACUCUUCCAUGGAGGAUUCUAAACUUCCCGAUGUUGUCAAUCUCGAGUCGCACAUUACUCCUUCCUCCAUAACCAAGCAUAUUUCUCGGAGUUAUUUAGAUACUCCUCUUUACCUUAUUCGCGCUCCUCUCCGGAAUGAAAGGAUAGUUCUCCCUAAACCUGCCCCUCCUGGUUUGGUAGAUCCCCAGAGGGGUCUUCGCAUAGUCUUCUUUCUUAAACAGAGGGAUUUUGGUCUGACUUUCCCCUUCACCCCUUUCUUCAUCGAGGUUUUUCAAUAUUUUGGGAUAACCCCCCGGAUGUUGUCCCCGAACUCCAUUUUGUUUAUGGCUUGUUUUGAAUCUAUUUGCCUGAGUUGGGGUUUUACACCCACAGCGUGUCUAUUUGUCACUUUCUUCCGCCUUGUUAGGGCAACUCAGAAAUUUUACUAUUUUUCUCCCCGUGGUGGAUUGUCUCUUUUCACGGGCUACAAGGAUUCAAUAAAGGGAUGGGUAGAGAAUUUCCUUGUGGCGGAGCUAAGAAAAGAUGUCGGCGUGUCAUGGGGAGUGGGGCUAGACUGGGAGGAUGUCCCCCCGGGCAUCAACGACCUGCCCCAACUAAGUCUCACCGAGCAGGUGGGGUAUCUCCGACUGACUUCUUCGACAAGAAGUAUGACGUCGAGAGAUGUAUGUUCGCGUCUAAUCUUAGGAAUAUCCGGGACACGGGUAUAAUGCCUUGUUUAGCAACUCCGCUUUUCUUCGUAAGUGACAUUAGAAAGUACGCUAACUCUUUCUGACUUUGUGUUUUUUGGCAGCUUCUAACGUUAAAAUGGAUGAGAUCAAGCCCCCGAAGAACUUAGUUCUGUCUAGGGAGAGUAUGAACGCUGCUUUAGAUGCCCUCCUGGCUGGGCGCCCCGUGCCUGAGGUCGCUGCAGAGGUGGCUCGGGUUGUUUCUACCAAGAAGGUUAGCCGGUCUCUUGCUAGAGCUCCUUCUCGGGCUCCAAAGUCGAGCUCCCAUGGUGCCAGACCCUCUCGAUCAUCUCGUCAGGGUAGGUCGGACCCUGCCUUGAAACCUGUUCAGGAGGCUAAAUCUGGUCAGGGUUCUACAGAGGAUGCGGAAGGAGCUCCCCUAACUGUUGUGAAGCAGGCCAGGGAUAUUGGACAGAUGAGGACGGAUCUUGCUCUUUCUGCUGAGGAGGCACCAGGGGGGAGGCUUGAAUCCCCUAUUAUUGAAGAGGGGGAUCCUGGAGCAGGACUGGAGAUCGUUCUUGUUGACGAUAGUGCCCCAGAGGUUCCUACCAGGGGUGCCCCUGAGGAGGUGAGGUCUGACCUUGCCAAGGGCGAGGAUGUCAUAGAGAAGGUAGGGGACAAACGUCCUGCCUCCCUCGAAGUGCCAUCCCCGGCCCCAGCUCAAAAGAGAUCCAAGGCUUCUAAGGGAUCAGCUCCAGCUCUCCCUCCCAUUGGGAAAGAGAAAGAAGUCCCUGUGAUACCACUGCUGUCUGCUCCUGAUAACGACAUUCUGAAUGCAAAGGAUAUCACUCAUCAGUCUCCGGCUAGCGUGGUUGCUGAGAUUGUCAAGGAACGGAUGUUCGGUGGCGUCUUGGAGGCUUCAGAUCCGCGCUUGCUUGCUCUCACUGGCCUUUUGGCCAGCUCUACUAGGGAGCAAGCAGCGUUCCGUUCCCGACCUCGCGAGGAGCUCGGAGCUACGAUCAGGGAGAUGCUCCUGAUGGUAAGCUAAGCUACCUCCUUUGCUUUUAUUCUGGUUUUUUUUGUGUUAACAGUCUUUUCCUUUGCUUUAGGUGAUGGGCCUCUUCAUGGAGGUGGA